rnacentral:rRNA from 1 species
UGCCUAUAAUGCAGUCGAGCGCAGGAAGCAGGCAGAUCCCCUUCGGGGGUGAUGCCUGUGGAAUGAGCGGCGGACGGGUGAGUAACACGUGGGCAACCUGCCUGUAAGAUCGGAAUAACUCCGGGAAACCGGGGCUAAUGCCGGGUAAUCCUUUUUUUCGCAUGAGAGAGAGGUAAAAGAUGGCCUUUGGCUAUCACUUACAGAUGGGCCCGCGGCGCAUUAGCUAGUUGGUGAGGUAAUAGCUCACCAAGGCGACGAUGCGUAGCCGACCUGAGAGGGUGAUCGGCCACACUGGGACUGAGACACGGCCCAGACUCCUACGGGAGGCAGCAGUAGGGAAUCUUCCGAUCUAAUGGACGAAAGUCUGACGGAGCAACGCCGCGUGAACGAUGAAGGUCUUCGGAUCGUAAAGUUCUGUUGUUAGGGAUAGAACAAGUACCGUAGCGAAURGAGCGGUACCUUGACGGUACCUAACRAGSAAGCCCCGGCUAACUACGUGCCAGCAGGCCGCRGUAAUAACGUAGGGGGCAAGCGUUGUCMGGUAAUUAUUKGGCGGUAAAGCGCGCGCAGGCGGUUUCUUAAGUCUGAUGUGAMAGCCCACGGCUCAACCGUGGAGGGUCAUUGGAAACUGGGGAACUUGAGGACAGAAGAGGAGAGUGGAAUUCCACGUGUAGCGGUGAAAUGCGUAGAUAUGUGGAGGAACACCAGUGGCGAAGGCGACUCUCUGGUCUGUUUCUGACGCUGAGGUGCGAAAGCGUGGGUAGCAAACAGGAUUAGAUACCCUGGUAGUCCACGCCGUAAACGAUGAGUGCUAGGUGUUAGGGGGCUUCCACCCCCUUAGUGCUGAAGUUAACGCAUUAAGCACUCCGCCUGGGGAGUACGGCCGCAAGGCUGAAACUCAAAGAGAAUUGACGGGGGCCCGCACAAGCSGUGGAGCAUGUUGGUUUAWUUCGAAGCAACGCGAAGAACCUWACCAGGUCUUGACAUSCUUGGACSGCCCUAGAGAUAAGGCGUCUUCCCUUCGGGGACSAAGUGACAGGUGGUGCAUGGUUGCUCGUCAGCUCCGUGUCGGUGACCGAYCGAYUGGGUUAASUYCUCGCAACGAGCGGCCAAGCCCCUAAUCUUAGUUGCCAGCAUUGAGUUGGGCACUCUAAGGUGACUGCCGGUGACAAACCGGAGGAAGGCGGGGAUGACGUCAAAUCAUCAUGCCCCUUAUGACCUGGGCUACACACGUGCUACAAUGGAUGGUACAAAGGGCAGCGAAGCCGCAAGGUGUAGCAAAUCCCAUAAAACCAUUCUCAGUUCGGAUUGCAGGCUGCAACUCGCCUGCAUGAAGCCGGAAUCGCUAGUAAUCGCGGAUCAGCAUGCCGCGGUGAAUACGUUCCCGGGCCUUGUACACACCGCCCGUCACACCACGAGAGUUGGCAACACCCGAAGUCGGUGAGGUAACCUUUAUGGAGCCAGCCGCCGGU